AUAUUGUCAUCUUGGAUUUCCAUAUUAAAAGGGAGUCUGAUUUGACUCAUAUCAGUGAUCACAUACAUAGUAUGAGCACACAGCGGCAAUAAACUCAGAAACAUUCAGAGAAAUCUGACAGAAAUACUCAUGGCAAUGGGUGGACUGGAGCUGAACGGCCUGCCAUGGGAGUGUAACUGUGUGUUAGUCCUAAAUAGCACCCUAUUUCCUAUAUAGUGCACUACUUUUGACCUGGGCCCAUAGGGCUCUUGUCAUAAAUAGUGCCCUAUAAGGGAAUAGGGUGCCAUUUGGGAUAAAACCAGUAACAGGCUGAUGUAAUGGCAGCCAGUGCUGAGCGAUGUGAGCAAUAUGUCAACGUAUGCCUCACGCAUCCCUUACUCAGCAGCUGAUGGACUGCAAGGAGUAGAGCUGGCCGUGGGAGUGACUGACUCUGUGCCUCAGCCCCUUUAGAUGAUUGACUGAGUUCCAGGUGUGACAGCUAGCGCCACAAAAAUAUGUACCUAGCUAUGGGACUUAAACGCACACAGCAGAUUAAGAUGAGAGAAUCCCUAUUGUCAGCACUGAAGAUAACGUAAGACGUGGGGUAAGAAACACACCCUUCAGAGGCUAACAGAUGAUCUGCAGGACCUUUAUAAACACUGAGGGGACAUGCGCACGCGCACACACACACACACACACACACACACACACACACACACACACACACACACACACACACACACACACACACACACACACACACACACACACACACACACACACACACACACACACACACACACACACACACACACACACACACACACACACGGUGGGUGGAUUGAUUGAAACAGCCCCAAUUGAGUGGGUUGAAAUCUCAGUUUUUUUCCAGACAGAAAAUGUAUUUUAAGAUGAGAAUCAACAAUCGAAAAACCACCUAUUAGAAAUAGAGCCUCUGUGCCUGAGCCAAACAUUUAAAAUUGGGUUGAGGGACUGUUUUUUCACUAUGAUGUGAGAGAGAAGAAGCAGAGCAGAGCCAGAGCGAGAGCGAGAGCGAGAGCAGACGAAAAGAGGACAAGAGAACAGACGAAAAGAGAACAGACGAAAAGAGGAAAAGAGCACAGAGGAGCAGUGUGCCAUGUGAGAGAGUAGAGAGAUAUCUGGGUUGCACUAUUCCUGCAAACAGAGCCAAUAGAGGUUCUUUCUCUCCACAUAGUUGGAGGCAGGAAACAACUGCGCUCACAUACAUUAUAGAACAUAAACAAUGAUUAUCUUUAGCCCACAGGGGUUAAAUAAGGGGAAACAUCUAAAAUCCCUGUAGUACAUCAUCCCUAAUUGAUGCAUGUCAUCUAUUUAUUUUCCAGACUGUACAACCGAUGAUGUACAACCCAUAAAUAUACAACUUCAGAUCAGAACAUAAUGAUUUGUUUUGUUAUGUUUUGGGGAAGUCUAGUUGUUCUGCCUUGUGAGCAAUAGAUAGGUCUGUCGGUCUGACAGGGUCUUCCCAGCAGAAGUCUAUUAGAAAGGUCUGUGGGUCUGACAGGGUCUUCCCAGCAGAAGUCUAUUAGAAAGGUCUGUCGGUCUGACAGGGUCUUCCCAGCAGAAGUCUAUUAGAAAGGUCUGUGGAUCUGACAGGGUCUUCCCAGCAGAAGUCUAUUAGAAAGGUCUGUGGAUCUGACAGGGUCUUCCCAGCAGAAGUCUAUUAGAAAGGUCUGUGGAUCUGACAGGGUCUUCCCAGCAGAAGUCUAUUAGAAAGGUCUGUGGAUCUGACAGGGUCUUCCCAGCAGAAGUCUAUUAGAAAGGUCUGUGGAUCUGACAGGGUCUUCCCAGCAGAAGUCUAUUAGAAAGGUCUGUGGAUCUGACAGGGUCUUUCCAGCAGAAGUCUAUUAGAAAGGUCUGUGGAUCUGACAGGGUCUUCCCAGCAGAAGUCUAUUAGAAAGGUCUGUGGAUCUGACAGGGUCUUCCCAGCAGAAGUCUAUUAGAAAGGUCUGUGGAUCUGACAGGGUCUUCCCAGCAGAAGUCUAUUAGAAAGG